rnacentral:rRNA from 1 species
AAGCAUAUCAAUAAGCGGAGGAAAAGAAACUAACAAGGAUUCCCCUAGUAACUGCGAGUGAAGCGGGAAAAGCUCAAAUUUAAAAUCUGGCGGUCUUUGGCCGUCCGAGUUGUAGUCUGGAGAAGUGCUUUCCGCGCUGGACCGUGUACAAGUCUCUUGGAACAGAGCGUCAUAGAGGGUGAGAAUCCCGUCUUUGACACGGACUACCAGUGCUUUGUGAUGCGCUCUCAAAGAGUCGAGUUGUUUGGGAAUGCAGCUCAAAAUGGGUGGUAAAUUCCAUCUAAAGCUAAAUAUUGGCGAGAGACCGAUAGCGAACAAGUACCGUGAGGGAAAGAUGAAAAGCACUUUGGAAAGAGAGUUAAACAGUACGUGAAAUUGCUGAAAGGGAAACGCUUGAAGUCAGUCGCGUCGGCCAGGACUCAGCCUUGCUUUUUUGCUUGGUGCAUUUUCUGGUUGACGGGCCAGCAUCGAUUUUGACCGCUGGAAAAAGGCCAGGGGAAUGUGGCACCUUCGGGUGUGUUAUAGCCCUUAGUCACAUACAGUGGUUGGGAUCGAGGACCGCAGCACGCCUUUAUGGCCGGGGUUCGCCCACGUUCGUGCUUAGGAUGCUGGCGUAAUGGCUUUAAACGACCCGUCUUGAAACACGGACCAAGGAGUCUAACAUGCCUGCGAGUGUUUGGGUGGAAAACCCGAGCGCGUAAUGAAAGUGAAAGUUGAGAUCCCUGUCGUGGGGAGCAUCGACGCCCGGACCUGAACUUCGGUGAUGGAUCUGCGGUAGAGCAUGUAUGUUGGGACCCGAAAGAUGGUGAACUAUGCCUGAAUAGGGUGAAGCCAGAGGAAACUCUGGUGGAGGCUCGUAGCGAUUCUGACGUGCAAAUCGAUCGUCAAAUUUGGGUAUAGGGGCGAAAGACUAAUCGAACCAUCUAGUAGCUGGUUCCUGCCG